rnacentral:rRNA from 1 species
UUUUAGCAGAGGGGCUCACCUGUUCCCAUUCCGAACACAGAAGUUAAGCCCUCUAGCGCCGAUGGUACUGCUAACGCGGGAGAGUAGGUCGCCGCCAGUU